CCAGGGGUGGGUGGACAGGGAUGGGUUGGACUCCUGACCACUGGCGCGCUGACGUGUGGCAUAGCACGUGCGCUGUCCGUCAUUUACGCGCACUAGCUAGGCUGUGUGGCGCGUACCGGUCUCAAAUCCACGUCGAGCGCCGCACGAAGUGGAGCGGCUACUAGCCAAUGGCUCCUGGCCCGGCAAAGAGGCAAUCGGAUGAAAGACGCUUUUGCUCUUGUUCACAUUUGCAGAAUAAUCGCCUGGUCUCGCACGCCAGCAAAGUAGCUGGAUCUGAGUCACAAGCACCUGCUGAAUAUCUGGUCCCAUACGCUCAACGCAGCCGAACGGGCUCCAAAAGCAUCUCGAGGCUUUUUUGCUACAUCCGGGCUAUGGAGUGCAGAGGUCAAACGACACGCAGGUGAAGAAGCUGAGACUCCAGGCAUGCGUACAGCUGCUGAGCCAGCGAGCUGGACCGUCACUCCCCCUACCUCCAGCUCUCCAUCUCCUGCUCCCUUUCACACUCCCAGACACGAAACUGUAACUGAUGCUGGAACAACAUGAAAUCCCUCGGGCCUGCUGAGGGUCUGUGAGUCACCUGCAGCCACGGAGGAGCUUUUUGUGUCUUGGCUUUCAACUCGAGGUUUGUGGCCAAAUAUAGAGAGGCAGCUUUCACCUUCAAUGAAGGCAUUUGGGUCUCAGCCAGGAUUGAUCUGUGCUUGGCUGCCUGUCUACCAGACAACCUUGGAAUCCGAUAUGGAUGGGCUAGGGCAGGAUUCCUGGAGAAGAUGCUACCGCUUGCCACAGGUUGAGUGACACUGGCAGUUUCUCUCUCCAAGGUGGGGAGCUGAGAGCCUCAUUUUAUCUCAGUGAUGACAAAGGUCCUCACACUUGGUUCAGAAAGCAUCAGAUGGGGAGAGGCUAACUCUGCCUUUAGCCCUCUUAGCUCCUUUCCUGUUGCUGUGAUCAAAUACCCUGACAAAAGCAACUUCAGAGAGAAUUGAUUCAGCUCACAACUUCAGAUUGCAGUCUGUCAUGACAAGGAAGUCACAACAGUGGGGAGCCUGGGAAGGAGCUGGUCACAUUACCUCCAUAGUCAAGUGCUGAGAGCAAAGAACUAAUGCAUGCUAAUGCUUACCUUGCUUCCUCUAUUUCUACAGCCCAGGAUUCCUGCCGAGGGAAUGAUGUUGCCCAUAGUGGGCGGGUCUUCCAAUUACUUAACGUAAUCAAGAUUGUUCUUCAUAGGCAUGCCUAGUGGCCUGCCUCUCAGGUGGUUCUGCAUUCUGUCAAGUUGACAAGUAACCACUGCGUUCCUUGUGUGGGCAUCUAACAUUGCUCUGUUCAAUAGAAAUGCAGUAUGAGCUGUGUGGUUCCAAGUUUUCUACUAAUACAUUACAAAAAGUAGUAAGAAUCAGGUAGCAAUAAUUUUACCAAAGUUUUGUCUGUUUUUGUAUGGGUCUUUUGCCUGCUUGUAUGUCUGUGUACCACUUUCGUGCAUUUGGGUGCAGGAAAUCAAAACUGGGCCCCUGAAAGAGUAACCAGCACUCCUAACCACUGAGCCAUCUCUCUAGCACCAGGUUGCAAUACUUGUAAUAGCCUGGUGGUGGUGGUACACACCUUUAGUCCCAGCAAAGACAGAUGGAUCUCUGAGUUCCAGGCCAGCCUGGAGUACAGAGUGCUUUCUAGACAGAGAGAAACCCCUUGAAGCCUCCCCCAAAAAAGCAAUAUGUAUAAUAAUUAAAUUGUAUCAGUUAUGCCCCAACUGUCUCUCAAAAUAAAUAAUUUAUUGUUUUGUUUGUUUGA